rnacentral:rRNA from 1 species
CGGGUGAGUAACACGUGGAUAACCUACCUAUAAGACUGGGAUAACUUCGGGAAACCGGAGCUAAUACCGGAUAAUAUAUUGAACCGCAUGGUUCAAUAGUGAAAGACGGUUUUGCUGUCACUUAUAGAUGGAUCCGCGCCGCAUUAGCUAGUUGGUAAGGUAACGGCUCACCAAGGCAACGAUGCGUAGCCGACCUGAGAGGGUGAUCGGCCACACUGGAACUGAGACACGGUCCAG